rnacentral:rRNA from 1 species
GCCUGCCCAGUGACCUAGUUCAACGGCCGCGGUAUCCUAACCGUGCGAAGGUAGCGUAAUCACUUGUUCUUUAAAUGAGGACUAGUAUGAAUGGCACCACGAGGGUUAAACUGUCUCCUUUUUUUAAUCAGUGAAACUAAUCUCCCCGUGAAGAAGCGGGGAUUCUUUUAUAAGACGAGAAGACCCUAUGGAGCUUUAAACAAGUUAACACCUGCUACUAAUCUUCACUUUCCUGAACCACCACAUUAAGUAUAGCACCUCUGAUUAACAGUUUUCGAUUGGGGUGAUCAUGGAGCAAAAAUCAACCUCCACGACGAAAAGGAACACCUCCUUGAGCCAAAAGCUACAACUUUAAGCACUAAAAAACUAACGCACUUUGACCCAAUUCUUUGAGCAACGAACCAAGUUACCCUAGGGAUAACAGCGCAAUCCACUUUAAGAGCUCCUAUCGACAAGUGGGUUUACGACCUCGAUGUUGGAUCAGGGUAUCCCAGUGGUGCAGCCGCUACUAAAGGUUCGUUUGUUCAACGAUUAAAACCCUACGUGAU